rnacentral:rRNA from 1 species
UACGUAGGGUGCAAGCGUUGUCCGGAAUUAUUGGGCGUAAAGAGCUCGUAGGCGGUUUGUCGCGUCUGCUGUGAAAACUCGGGGCUUAACUCCGGGCCUGCAGUGGGUACGGGCAGACUAGAGUGCGGUAGGGGAGACUGGAAUUCCUGGUGUAGCGGUGAAAUGCGCAGAUAUCAGGAGGAACACCGGUGGCGAAGGCGGGUCUCUGGGCCACUACUGACGCUGAGAAGCGAAAGCAUGGGGAGCAAACAGG